GAGCGGCCAGGGAUGGGGCGUGGUCCCUGGGGGGAGCCAACGCGAGGGGCGGUGCGGGGUCUGAGGGUCGCGAGCGUCCAGCAGGGACCCCCGCUCCCCAUCCACUGCGUCCCACCAAGGUCGCCGCUGCCCUCGGUCUUGCUAGGGCCAGCGGGCCGCGGACUGUCAGCCGGUGUGGCGUCCCCUCCCUCAGACCCCCGAAUUCGGGACAAGCGGCUUCGGGGGUGGGGCCAAGUUCUGCCCAGAGCUGUCUCUCCCGGGCCGUGGUGAGGGGUGGUCUGGGGCCGGUUCUGCGGCAGGGGGCGCCAGGAGCCUAGAGGAUGCUGCGCACCCUGAAUUAACCAAGACUUUCUCUGAGAACCAGCUAGAACCCCUGGGGCCUCUCUAGGAAAGCGAAUGCCGCAGGUGGGGGUUGGGCUAAGGCGGGACCUCAGUUGGGAGACGCCCCGCACAGCACUGCAGUCCGCCUCAGUGGGUGGAGCCCCCCAUAGUGCACACUGGGAAAGCUUCUGAUCCCUCAGGACCUCCGGUUCCCCCACCCACUCCCCGCCAGCCAGAUGAGGGUGCCCCUGGACCCUGCUUCUCUCUGCACUGCUCCCCGUUAAAUUCCCUGGGGAGGAAAAAAAAAACCCAAACGAAUUCUCCCCGGAGCAGCAACCUUGAGUCUAGUUAGUGUUUAGGCUUCUCACUGAGAAAUCGUUCAACAUAUUCUUCUGGGCCAGCGUAGAUGGAGGGAGAGGAGUCUAGGGUUUGGACAGGUGGGAUUGCGGGAGAGCGGUGAGCAGGGGACGGCGGGGUAGGGGUGGGGUGAGAGUGGUAGUGGAGGUGCACUCCACCUUUGGUUGAGGCCCCCUCUACACAGUUUGUUGGCUUCCUUUCUCAGAGCACCAAGGCAGGGGCGAGGGGCGAGGGAGGAGGGGCGGGUAUUGAACCCAUCUGGCUCAGAACCCCUGGAAGGGAGACAGAUUGUGCCUGUCUUGAUGCCUCUGGACCCGCGCCCUAUUGCUGGGUUCUCUGAGGCCCGGACCCUGACUGCUGAUGUGUGUCACCCCCAUGCCCACCCCAGGCAUGUCCUCUUCUGUGAAGGUGCUGGGUCAGGCCAGACCCUCAGACUCCUGCAAGCUGGCUGAUGGUCCCCUGAGGCUGUGCAGAGGAGGCUGACCAUCCUGGACUGGCUGCUGGACUCUUCUGUGCAGUGGCUGAAGAUGAACUUCAUUGCUGGGCUCUCGGUCAGGCUCAAGGUCAUCCCCCAGGUGCUGGCCUGUGCUGAGGUGGCCUGACUCCCGCCCCAGUACAGCCUCUACUCUGCCUUCAUGGGUGCUUCCUGUAGUUUGUCCUGGACAUCUCCUGGGAUGUGACUCUGGGCCCCACAGCUGUCAUGUCCCUCCUGGUCUCCUGAUACACCUUUCCUGAGCCCGCCUGUGCUGUGCUGCUGGCCUGCUUAUGGGGCUGCGUGCAGUGAGCCCUGGGGCUCCUGCUCUUGGCCCACGUCCACCCAUGUCCUCUGGGAUGAGGCAAAGCUGUGACCACCUCGGCAUUCCCCUUGGCCGGCCAGGGUUCCUGCUGGACUUCAUCUCCUGCCCCAUCAGUCAUUAAAGGUUUCACCUCUGCUGCUCCCAUCACCAUGGGCUUCAGGCAGAUCCAGCACAGUGAAUGUCACGCUGCACAUUCUGUCCUGCCUUUUGUGAACAGUUCUAGUCUCAGUGCAGUUUUCAUGCCAUUUGCUGAACUGUUUGUGUCCACAUGUCACACACACCACUCAGGAGCUGCUACUGUCACCACUGGCUUCCGGCAGAUCAAGGUAGGCACACUGUUGAGCACCAGGGCACCUGCAGGGUAGCAGGACCAAGGCUGGGUCCUGAUAUGUGUGGGUCAGUCGACAUCUUGCUGUUCCAGAACUGGAAGCACGUGGUGCUCGCAUGCAUCUCCAUAAAUAAAGUGACCCCUCAGGGGAGCUGUUGGGUGAAGGUCAGAUUGUGUAACAGGUAGUUUGGGGAGAGGUAAUGACGGCCCCCGCUCUGGGUGGAGUUUCCUGCCAGUGCGCUUGGUUCCCUCACGCAGUGGUUCUGUUCUGCUGCCUCUACUGCACACUCAGCCGGCAGCCUUCACAGGUCACGAGUGUCCUGCCAAGAUUUCCACAAGCAAAUGCUUCCCCCGCUUCAGGAGAUAAAGCACAUGCUGCUGUUCCAGCUUCUUCGCAGGGUUUUGCCUCCUCCUAGCAACGGUCACAGCAACAAUGUCUGCAAGUUGAAUGAGCAUCUGAAAUGCUCACUUAGCUAGAUGAUUUCCUUUUUAUGGUUUUUCCAAUUCCUUUUGAAUAUGUUUCAAAUGCCCUGCUUCAUGUUUCUAUUUAAACCUCUAUAAGAAGCACUAGGUCAGCGAUCACUGGUUAUCUGAGGACGUCAUUGGUUCUCCUUUCCCUGGGUUUGACGUUGCUGGGGGCAGGAGCUGUCUUGCUCCCAAUCAUGGCCCCCAGCGCUGUGCUUGGUACAAAGCAGGUCAGCGCUCAGGUGGGUGUGCACAAUGGACCCGAGCUGCCUUGUACAAAUGAGGCCUUGGGGCCCCUGAGUUGCAGAUCCAGGAGCACCCCCCUGCCUGGUGACCUGGUAUCCCCACCUUGCUCUCUCCAAGGCUUGGUUCCCACGGCCGGGCUCUGCUUCAGGCUGGCCCAUGCAGUCUUCCCUGAUGAAGGGCAAUGACCAGAUCAAGGCCCGGAGGAGGCGUGUGUGUGAGAAUCAAGCAGCUGACACUUCUUCCCUCUCACUCUGUGCUGGGGCUGGAUCCAACACUUUCUCUGUGUUGAAUUCUUACCACACCCCUGGGAGGGAGGUUUCUCGUCUCUCCAUUUAGAGAGGAGGAAACCCCUCAGAAAUGUGGGGAUGAGUGUGAUUUAUAUGUUAUGUACACACACGUGUCAGGAGAAGCUUGACAAAUGCUAUUUCGCGGGAUAGUCUGUCCUUUAUUCUAGAAACAGCAUCCUUCCUUUUUAAUGUCAAGAAUGUCCUUUGAUAUGAUCAUAAUGUGAGUAGAGGGCAGCUUCUUUAUGCAUUCAUACUUGGUGACUCUAGGCCCCCAAAGUCAUUAAACCUUGACUUUGUCAUGACAGCCACCUGAGAGCCCCAAGGCUGGAUUGGGGUUGGGGGCCCUCCUGACCUGCCAGGACAAAAGUGGAGGAGGCCGUGGUUGGAGGUGUCCCCUGGCUAAGUAGCUGCAACUUCUGUGGCACCAGCACCUCAGGCACCUUGGUCCUGGUGAGAGGUGUGCACCCAGGGGAGUGUAUUGUGGUCGGUGAUGGUCAUGUGAUCGGAAGGGGGACAAAGAUUGGCAUCAAGGAACACACCUUUUUGACAAAUGUGAAUGUCUUUGUUUUUGAUCACUCAUGAAAAGUACAUUAAAGCCUGAUGAAUUUUAAUAGACACAAGCCCUGAAAUGUCACUGCAGAAGUAUUGAAGUUUUCAUGAUCCUUCGUUGCUCUGCCUGCUGGUUGCGCUGAACCAUGUUUAUGUCUAUCUUCUUAUGUAGAGUUUAGCAUUAGAUUCAGGGGCAACAAAUAGCCUUUUGCAAACACUGUUGGAUUCUUUUCAGUUUUAGCCUGAAGGCAUCUGUCUCUUCUGGAAUCCACUCCAGCCACAAGGAGGAGAGUCACUCCAAUGCCUGUGAAAUGGAAUCUUCAGAAAUUUUUAGUUUUCAAACUGGGAAUCUGGAAGAAUCAAUUCCUUGUUAUUGCAAAGUAUUUAUUUCUUAAUAUUUUAGUUUUUCACGAACUGAUGCUUUUGAAAGAGAUAUUGUUUACUGGGCUGUUUGACUUUGACGUCAUCUUUGGGGGUGGAGCAGUGAUGGAUUUGGGUCCACUUUCAUAUUCAGGGUGCACAUCCAUGUGACCCAGACUCUUACACCUCUUUCUGUUUGAUGACUCCCCUGUGUUCCCCUCCCCCUGGGUGAUGAUGAUUCUUUUUGACACUUGUGAAUAUGUGUUUUUAAGCCUUAGAUGCCUUUUUUCUUCAAAUUAAAACAUGGAAAUCCUCAUGAAUAUUUCAGGAUGUCCUGAUACCUAGAAGGUUAACUAAUGGAAUUCCUCUGGGUUUUUCUUGCCCUAGUUCAGAUCCUUUAAAGUGAGUAAGCAAGAUUCUAUACUCCCUUCUGAGGGUUACUUUCUAUGUUGACCGUGCAUAAUUCAGUCUUAUUCAUUGUAACAGCUUGAGUAAGAUGUAGUUCACAUACAAUACAAGCCACACUUGAAGGUGUGCAAUUCAGGGUUUUUUAGUGUAUUCACAGAAUUGUGCAAUGUCACCACAAUCGAUUCUGGAAGCUUUCUGUCAUCCCUCCAAAAGAAACACCUUCCUCAUUAGGAGACAGUCCCAUUUCCCUUCACUUCUAAGGCCUAGACAAACACAAAUUCACUUUACAUUUCUAUGGGCGGGCCUAUUUUGAACAUUCCAUAUAAAUGGAACCAUAUAAAAUGUGACCUUUUGCGUCUGGCUUCCUUCACUGAGCAUAAUGGUUUCCAGGUCUGUCCAUGUUGUGGCAUGUGUCAGCCUUUUCUUUCUUUUUGAUUGCUGAAUAAUAUCCAUUGUACGGCUGUAGCACAGUGUAUUUCUCCUUUCCUCAGUUGAGGAACAUUUGGAUUGUGGCCACUUUUUGGCUAUUAUGAAUAAUGCUGCUGUGAACAUUGUUGUAUAAGUCUUUGCACAGACAUCUGCUUUCAUUUCUUUGGGUUUAUAACUAAGAGUGGAAUUGCUGGGUCAGAUGGUAACUCUCCGUUUCACUAUUUGAAUACUCAGAAGACUUUUUUCUAAAGUGACUGCACCAUUUUACCUUCCUGCCAGCCGUGUGUGAGGGUUCCAGUUUCUCCACUUACCAUCUGUCUUUUUGAUCAUAGCCGUCCUAUGGGUGGGAAAUGAUAUCUCGCUGUGGUUUGGAUUGAUAUUUCUCUGAUGGCUCAUGAUGUUGGACAUCUUUUCCUGUGCUUAACGACCAUUUGUAUAUCUUCUCUGGAGAAAUGUCUGUUCAGCUCAUUGGCCCAUUUUUAAAUUGGAUUUUUAAAAAAAUAACUGAGUUGUAACACUUCUUUAUAUAUUCUAGGUAUAUUUCUUAUUGGGUAUAUCAGUUGCAAAUUUUUCUCUUUAUUGUGGAUUGUCUUUUCACAUUCUUAACGGUGUCCGAUGGAUCCAGAAAGUUUUACAUUUUAGUGGUGUCCAAUUUAUGCACAAUAGAGUCUUACGAGUUGGAAAUCAUUUAGACAUUAAAUCAUAUCCUCAUCAAUAUUUUGAUUAUAUAAAUUAAAAGGCAAAUAUGAAAGGGUCGGGGAAAGAUUUGAAUCUUGAAAUGUUCAUUUCAAGAUUUGCUAUAGAUCCAAAAGAACUCAUCAGGGAAGAUAUGAUUUUCCUGUUCAAAUAUUUAUUAUCCUUUUAAUGUUCAUGGAUCAGUAAUCAUAGUCCCGCUCUCAUUUCUAAUAUUAGCAAUUUACAUUUCUCUCUCUUUUUUUUCAGUUAGCCUGGAUAGAGGUUUAUCCAGUCUUUUGAUCUUUUCAAAGAACUAGUCUUGGUUUUAUCGAUUUCUCUAUUGAAUUACUGUUUUUCAGUGUCAUUGAUUUUUGCUGUAAUUUUUAUUAUUUCCUCUCUUUUGUUCUUCCUUUGUUCUUCAUCCUCUAGCUUGUUGUUUCAGAUCUUUCUUUUUUCUAAUAUGUGCAUUCUAUGCUAUGAAUUUCCCUCUGGGUCCUGCUUUCACUGCAUUCCACACAUUUUGAUUGGUCGUAUAUUCAUUUUCAUUUAGUGGAAGAUAUUUGCAGUUUCUCUUGAGACUGUUUUUUUUGCUCCAUGUGGUGUUUAAUCUGCAGAUAUUUUGGGAUUGUCCCGCUAUCUUUCUAUUUUGGUUUCCUACUUUAAAGUCCUUUUUGGUCUGAGAACGUACUCUAUUUGAUUUAUAUUGUUUUAAAUUUGCUGAGGUGUGGGAUGUUUUUUUUUAGCUGGGUGGUGUCAUCUGUGUGGUGAAUGUUGCGUGUGAGCUUUUGAAGACUGUGUAUUCUGCUUUCAUUGGAUGCAGUGUUUUAUCAAUGUUAAUUAGAUCCAGUAGAUGGAUGACAUCAUUCAGUUCAUCCUUACUGAUUUUCCGCCUGCUGCAUCUAUCAGUUACUGCUGGAGCAGUGUUUAGUGCUAUAGUGGUGGAUUUGUCUAUUUCUCCUUGCAGUUUGAUCAGUUUUUCUUCACAUAUUUUGAUGUUCUGUUGUUAGAUGCAUGUAUGUUGAGGACUGUUGUCUUCUUGUAGAAUCGACCCCUUUAACAUUAUGGGCUGCCUCUCUUUGUUCCUUAGAAUUUUCCUUGUUCCGAAGUCAGCUUUGUCUGAAAUUAAUACCUUUCUUUGGAUGUGUGUUAGCCUGGCUUAUCUUGUUCUUUCCCUUUACUCCCAACCUAUCUGUCUUUAUAAUUAAAGUGGGUUUCUGUAGACAGCGUAUAGUUGGGUCUUAUUUUUUUUUAUGUAUUCUGAUGGUCUCGGUCUCUUAAUGGCUGUAUUUAGACCAUUCUUAAUUAAGGAGAUGAUUGAUAUAGUUGGAUUAAUAUCCACCAUAUUUGCAACUGUUUUCUAUUCAUUGUCCUUGUUCUUUCUUUUUUCUGUCUUCCACUUUUUAAAUUAUUUUUUGCCUUCUCUGGUUUUUAUUGAGCAUUUUAUAUGAUUCCAUUUUUUCUUUUCUUUUAGUGUAUCAGUAAUACUGCUUUUAAAGUUUUUAAAUGGUUUCUCUAGAGCUUACAAUAUAAAUUUACAACUAACCUCAGUUCACCUUGAAAUGACACUGUG